CAACUCCCAUCAAGCCAAGUUCCCGGAGGAGAUCACCCAGCUCAUCAUACUAGAGCACUUUUUCAAUGGGCUCCCCAACGACAAGGCGACGACGCAUCCGUAUGUCAUCAAUAUCAACUUUUGAUGCCAUUUACUGUGCCUAGCAUGGUGACCACGGUAACGGAGAAUCAGGGUUCGAUUCCGGAGAGGGAGCCUGAGAAACGGCUACCACAUGCAAGGAAUGCAG
rnacentral:rRNA from 1 species